rnacentral:rRNA from 1 species
CGCGGCCUAUCAGCUUGUUGGUGGGGUAGUGGCUUACCAAGGCUUUGACGGGUAGCCGGCCUGAGAGGGUGACCGGCCACAUUGGGACUGAGAUACGGCCCAGACUCCUACGGGAGGCAGCAGUGGGGAAUAUUGCACAAUGGGCGGAAGCCUGAUGCAGCAACGCCGCGUGCGGGAUGACGGCCUUCGGGUUGUAAACCGCUUUCGCCUGUGACGAAGCGUGAGUGACGGUAAUGGGUAAAGAAGCACCGGCUAACUACGUGCCAGCAGCCGCGGUGAUACGUAGGGUGCGAGCGUUGUCCGGAUUUAUUGGGCGUAAAGGGCUCGUAGGUGGUUGAUCGCGUCGGAAGUGUAAUCUUGGGGCUUAACCCUGAGCGUGCUUUCGAUAUGGGUUGACUUGAGGAAGGUAGGGGAGAAUGGAAUUCCUGGUGGAGCGGUGGAAUGCGCAGAUAUCAGGAGGAACACCAGUGGCGAAGGCGGUUCUCUGGGCCUUUCCUGACGCUGAGGAGCGAAAGCGUGGGGAGCGAACAGGCUUAGAUACCCUGGUAGUCCACGCUGUAAACGGUGGGUACUAGGUGUGGGGUCCAUUCCACGGGUUCCGUGCCGUAGCUAACGCUUUAAGUACCCCGCCUGGGGAGUACGG